AACGAACGCUGGCGGCAUGCCUAACACAUGCAAGUCGAGCGAGCAUUUCGGUGCUAGCGUCGGACGGGUGAGUAACGCGUGGGAACGUGCCCUUUUCUGCGGAAUAGUCCUGGGAAACUGGGGGUAAUACCGCAUACGCCCUUUUGGGGAAAGAUUUAUCGGAGAAGGAUCGGCCCGCGUUGGAUUAGGUAGUUGGUGGGGUAAUGGCCCACCAAGCCGACGAUCCAUAGCUGGUUUGAGAGGAUGAUCAGCCACACUGGGACUGAGACACGGCCCAGACUCCUACGGGAGGCAGCAGUGGGGAAUCUUAGACAAUGGGGGCAACCCUGAUCUAGCCAUGCCGCGUGAGUGAUGAAGGCCUUAGGGUUGUAAAGCUCUUUCAGCUGGGAAGAUAAUGACGGUACCAGCAGAAGAAGCCCCGGCUAACUCCGUG
rnacentral:rRNA from 1 species